AUUGAACGCUGGCGGCAUGCCUUACACAUGCAAGUCGAACGGCAGCACGGGUGCUUGCACCUGGUGGCGAGUGGCGAACGGGUGAGUAAUACAUCGGAACAUGUCCUGUAGUGGGGGAUAGCCCGGCGAAAGCCGGAUUAAUACCGCAUACGAUCUACGGAUGAAAGCGGGGGACCUUCGGGCCUCGCGCUAUAGGGUUGGCCGAUGGCUGAUUAGCUAGUUGGUUGGGUAAAGGCCUACCAAGGCGACGAUCAGUAGCUGGUCUGAGAGGACGACCAGCCACACUGGGACUGAGACACGGCCCAGACUCCUACGGGAGGCAGCAGUGGGGAAUUUUGGACGAUGGGCGAAAGCCUGAUCCAGCAAUGCCGCGUGUGUGAAGAAGGCCUUCGGGUUGUAAAGCACUUUUGUCCGGAAAGAAAUCCUUGGCCCUAAUACGGUCGGGGGAUGACGGUACCGGAAGAAUAAGCACCGGCUAACUACGUG
rnacentral:rRNA from 1 species